CCCACCUCUCAAGAUGAAAUCACCAUUAUCCAGCAUGGUAGCAAAAGUGCUAACCAAGUAUGGUUGAGCAGGGCCUCUCAGAGGGCUCACACCGUGGGCAGGUCCCAGUACGCAUGUGCGGAACAAGGGACUCCACGGAUCAUCCAAUUUCACACACAUGGAGUAGCCAAAUUAGAGCAUUAGAAUUCAGGAACCAUUACCCUCCUAAAAUUCUAUGACCAUAUUUCAGUUCUGUCCCUUGAUUUGGAAGUGGUUCAGCAUCUUACAAUACCUAUAGGUCAUCAAUAAAAUGGCAUUUAACAAAAAUUGAUAAAAGGACAAAAUACGUGAGUGACCAUUAGGAAGGUGGAUAUUCUUGUUUAUAACAUGGCUAGGAAGAGAGGUCUUAAUGUACUUAACAGUUAGUUUAUUGAAAAAAAAAAUGUAUGCCUAGUCCACGUUCCCAGGUGAUAGGAUUACACAUUAGGGAAUUUUUCGAACGUGAACAUGAGAGAAAGCCUUUCUGUGAACGUAGAACUUUUGAGCUUUGUAAAGUGGAGAUCACUAGAGUAGCGCCUCAGAGAGCCACGAGGAUUUGAAGAGUGAGAACUUGUAAGCAUUUAGCCGUACCUUUCUUGGAAUACGUGUGAAUGCAGUAAAAUCCGUGUGAAUGCCAUCACUCUCAUCCCUCACCUCCGAAAUGUGCAGUUUUACUUGUUGGAAUGCUAACAACAGAAGUGGCCUCAAGAUGGGAUUUCGGAUUACUCCUCUUGGUGACCCAUAUUGUUGGCGAUAUGCCGGUUUGGGUUCAUCAAAGUUCCCCUGCAAGCAUUUGGCAAACGGAUUGCAAAGUUGACUCAAGAAAAGGGUCUCUUGAUCCUCCGUGAUGCUACUGAUCUUCCUUCUGUCUUGAUUCUAAAACUUCCUUGUAGCUCUGCUCAUGAGGUAUAUGUGAUCUCGUUUAUUUAAGAAAAUACAUUACCCAAGCUGAGAGGCAUGAAUUUUGGUUCAAUGUGAGGUCAAGACUCUCAGCCUCAGCGUAUUUUCUUAAAGGUACACCCUUCAAGAUUAUUGUCACGUUUCUUUUGCACUCUUAGCUAAAAUAGAACUAGACCCCAGUUCCUUUUUUUGUUUUGUUUUCAUUUUUUUUGUUUUGUUUUCAUUUCUCUAAGUGGAGAAUUGUCCUCAUGGAAGAAUAUCGUCUUUAAGUUUACAGUGCUAUUAAAAUGAUGGUUCACACCAAACUAAUAUGGGUCGUUAAAGGUAAAACUAUUAUUAUCAGAUAAUAUGAUGUGUAGGACCGUUUGGGGGUAAGUUAACUAAUUGAAAAUGCGCCUUGCCAUUAUGGUUAUGAACCCCCAUCCCUACUUUCAUAUUGAGAGAAAGGACUCAAUACGUGUGAUGGAAAACAUCAUGGCGCUUCUGGGCAUGAAGGCCGUGCCAGUGGGAGCACGAGGCCAUCAGAACUAAAGCAGCACCUUGUGCUGUGCACAUGAUGCGCCCGUUUCAUGAUUUCAAAAGAAUUGGAUUUUCCUGAAAUUUGGAUUUGCCCCAACACAAACCCUCUUUGGUGGCUUAUCUCAUUGCCAAGGACAUUCGGCCACAUGCAAAAGGCUGAGGUGAUUGAUGGCUUAAACCAGAAAGAAAAUGACAGCAUACCUCUGUCCCAUGACAUCGUCCACUGCAACAUGCUCCUGCCUCUUCUGAUAUUGGAAGCCACUCCAAAACACUGCUUCUGACAGAUGCCGGAUGUCUCCCAUUUUAUGCAUCUGGGCAACAUGGGAAAUUUCUGUGUGAGCCUCGUGUGUAAGCAUCAGAGGCAGGUAACCUCUUCAGAAUGUCAAGAAGUUUCCUUUCUUGGCAAAGCUUUGUACCCAUUGUCAUGUCACGACUCAGUGUUUCUUCAUAAGCAUGUGCUGGGGGCUGAAACUCAAUUCCACUUCCCCUCCUGAAAGAAAUGCUGUCUUCUGUCAUGACUCCAUCCAAGCCACUGGGGCUGAACAGUUCCGGAAAGACAGUGCUUGCUACUUCAGUAGAUACUUUCUGCCGUUCCGGAGUCACGGACUUAUCAUGCAUGGCUGAACUUCAUGCAUGAGUUUUACUUUUCCCAAAGAAAAACAUGUUGUUAAAACAUUUUGAUGGGUUGAAGCCCAUGGCUUCUGAGGUUUCCCUGGUAGAUACUCUUGAAAAACAAUAAGCAUCUUGGCAAAGCUACUGCUCUAGAAAGAGAAGUUAGAAGCAAGCAUGUGCAAGAACAUUCCAGCGUGGAAGGAAUUGCUGCUGUGGGCCAGUCUGUAAUAACAAAGCCUUCUGAACCCCCAUGCUGGCAGAAAUCUGAGGGUGCCUGGAAACCGGCAAGGUUCUGCUGACUUCUGUUUAGACAUAGCAUCAAUGAUGCAGAUCCAGCGAGAGCUGAUUCUACUGCCUGAACCAAAGUAAAAGGAUUCAAAUGAAUAUCUCUCAAAGAGCUUUAGAGGUUCAUUUUCAUCUUCAGCACCAUCCCAGCACUCAUCUGCCAAGAUGCUUUGGAAUUUCUGCGGCCAUCAGGCGUGUGCCAACCCUUGGACAUCUGCACAUGCGGGGCUGAUGUUCAGCAGACCCACACCGGCACGGCCAUGCUUACGACAAAGCCCACUGUGAUGGUUGGAGGCUCUGUUGGGAACUCUCCCACCCAUGUAGUGCCGGCUGCUAGAUAUUAAAAGGGAAGUUUCUGACAAAUGUGUCCACGUUUUAGAAACUUAAUUAGAUGAGCACCAAGGCUCAUGAUGGCCCUGGAGGAUGGAGUAAUAAAAGCUGCUCUUCACUGCUGCUG